CGCUUGUAAUGACUGGAAAAUCCGUUUGUCCUUCAUGUCAGACACAUCUGUAAGUCAGAAAUAUACCGGGGCAUUACUGUACUAUAAGCAUCCACUGUAUAUUGUAUAUUUAAUGAGUUCUAUAUUGUCUUCUUUUGUCGAGUCGCGCUGCGCCGCGCCACUCGUGUCCGAGGAAGACGCUGAAGCAGCGGGCAGCGUCGCGGCGUUUGCCCGGGGGAUGAACCCGCGAGAGCGAAAGAGUUCCGGAGAACAUCCGCGCUGUGUGUCGAUACAAUUUACGAGAGAUUAAGACCAGCAAGUAAGGCAACUGCAAUGAAGCAUCAAGAAAGACAUGAGCAUGCCAACCACUCUGAGACUGAUAGGUCAUGAGAAGACAUUUCUGGCACUAACAAAGUGGAUGGUGAGCAAAGGUGGUGGCCACGUUUUGGAGCAGACCUGGGUUUUGCAUAUGGCUGUGUAUUUUUUGGCUGCAUGUCUUUUUCUCCAUUAUGUUUCUGUUGCCUAUAGAUUCUUUGUGAGGAUACAACAUAAUGCACUGCAAAACGUCCUAAGACAGGGGAAAUGGUGAAGAUGCACUGUUCCAGCAGUUUAAGACUGUAUUUUUAAGUGUUAUACAUGCA